rnacentral:rRNA from 1 species
UUGGUGAACCAGCGGAGGGAUCAUUACUGAGUUUACGCUCUACAACCCUUUGUGAACAUACCUAUAACUGUUGCUUCGGCGGGUAGGGUCUCCGUGACCCUCCCGGCCUCCCGCCCCCGGGCGGGUCGGCGCCCGCCGGAGGAUAACCAAACUCUGAUUUAACGACGUUUCUUCUGAGUGGUACAAGCAAAUAAUCAAAACUUUUAACAACGGAUCUCUUGGUUCUGGCAUCGAUGAAGAACGCAGCGAAAUGCGAUAAGUAAUGUGAAUUGCAGAAUUCAGUGAAUCAUCGAAUCUUUGAACGCACAUUGCGCCCGCCAGCAUUCUGGCGGGCAUGCCUGUUCGAGCGUCAUUUCAACCCUCAAGCUCUGCUUGGUGUUGGGGCCCUACAGCUGAUGUAGGCCCUCAAAGGUAGUGGCGGACCCUCUCGGAGCCUCCUUUGCGUAGUAACUUUACGUCUCGCACUGGGAUCCGGAGGGACUCUUGCCGUAAAACCCCCAAUUUUCCAAAGGUUGACCUCGGAUCAGGUAGGAAUACCCGCUGAACUUAAGCAUAUC